UACGUAGGUGGCUAGCGUUAUCCGGAUUUAUUGGGCGUAAAGGGAACGCAGGCGGUCUUUUAAGUCUGAUGUGAAAGCCUUCGGCUUAACCGGAGUAGUGCAUUGGAAACUGGGAGACUUGAGUGCAGAAGAGGAGAGUGGAACUCCAUGUGUAGCGGUGAAAUGCGUAGAUAUAUGGAAGAACACCAGUGGCGAAAGCGGCUCUCUGGUCUGUAACUGACGCUGAGGUUCGAAAGCGUGGGUAGCAAACAGG
rnacentral:rRNA from 1 species